rnacentral:rRNA from 1 species
AGUGAACGCUGGCGGUAGGCCUAACACAUGCAAGUCGAACGAGCGGCGGACGGGUGAGGAAUGCAUCGGAAUCUACUCUGUCGAGGGGGAUAACGAAGGGAAACUGACGCUAAUACCGCAUACGAUCGAAUGAGCCGAUGUCGGAUUAGCUAGUUGGCGGGGUAAAGGCUCACCAAGGCGACGAUCCGUAGCUGGUCUGAGAGGAUGACCAGCCACACUGGAACUGAGACACGGUCCAGACUCCUACGGGAGGCAGCAGUGGGGAAUAUUGGACAAUGGGCGCAAGCCUGAUGCAGCCAUGCCGCGUGGGUGAAGAAGGCCUUCGGGUUGUAAAGCCCUUUUGUUGAGAAAGCGGUACCCAAAGAAUAAGCACCGGCUAACUUCGUGCCAGCAGCCGCGGUAAUAC